GAACGCACAUUGCGCCCGCCAGUAUUCUGGCGGGCAUGCCUGUUCGAGCGUCAUUUCAACCCUCAAGCCCCAGCGGCCUGGUGUUGGGGACCGGCGACCUCGCUGACGCCCUUCUUGGGCCCAGCGUCCGCCGCCCCCGAAAUGAAUUGGCGGUCUCGUCGCGGCCUCCUCUGCGUAGUAGCACAACCUCGCAACAGGAGCGCGACGCGGCCACUGCCGUAAAACGCCCAACUUUUUUAGAGUUGACCUCGGAUCAGGUAGGAAUACCCGCUGAACUUAAGC
rnacentral:misc_RNA from 1 species